rnacentral:rRNA from 1 species
UACAGAGGUCCCAAGCGUUGUUCGGAAUCACUGGGCGUAAAGGGCGCGUAGGCGGAUCUUUAAGUCGGGGGUGAAAGCCUGUGGCUCAACCACAGAAUUGCCUUCGAUACUGGGGAUCUCGAGACCGGAAGAGGUGAGUGGAACUGCGAGUGUAGAGGUGAAAUUCGUAGAUAUUCGCAAGAACACCAGUGGCGAAGGCGGCUCACUGGUCCGGUUCUGACGCUGAGGCGCGAAAGCGUGGGGAGCAAACAGG